GUCAUGUUCAAAUGUAUCUUUCUGUUCGUCUUGUGAUUUAUUUUUCAAAGGGCUAUCUUGCAAAGGAGCCCCUUCAGUUUUCUUUGCCUGCUUUUCCAUAGACCCUCGUCUUUUGGAAGAGACAGGUGAUUUGCUGUAUGGGGAUGAAGAACGAGAUGAAGAGGACCUUGGGGACCUGGAAGAUCUGUAAGAUCGACGAGAUCUGCUCCUGGACCUCUGUGAAGACACAGACCUUCGCUUUGGACUUCUGGAACGUGAACGGCCACGCCUAGGGCUUCGGGAGUGUCUUCGGUUCCAGACAGGCCUAUAACCUCCACGAUGGUAUCUACCACCUCCUCCUUGGUAAUACCCUCUACCUCUUCCUCUGUAACCAUAGGGACGUCUCAUUCCUCUAUUAUUUCUGUAAUCUCUGCGAUAAUCUCUAGAAUAAACACGAUCCCUGCUGCGAGAUCGUGAGUAUGUCCUUGAACGAGACCUAGAACUGUAUCUCUUUUUUCUAGAGUGUGACCUGGAUCUUGACCUAGAGCUGGACUGAGAUCUGGACUUGGAUCUUGAAGAAUGUGAUCUAGAGUUAGAUCGACCCAUUUUUCCCAGUAGAUAUACUUCUUCUCAAGCCACUGGUCUGUGUCAAUCAAUCAGCUAUCUUAAAAUUCUCCGUUUAUGCUUUCAGCAACACAGAUCCCUACAGAAUGGGAAAAAAAUGACCAUGAGAGACAAGUACUUCUACUAAAGGAUCAUUAACUCCUGCUUAAAUGGGUUCAAACAUUAUACUGUUUAUCACGAAAAGGCAACAGAAGAAACAGCAAAUUUAGUCCUAGACUACUGAAACACAUUGAGAUUUGGAGCAGCUUAUGUGUUAGCCACUGCCAAGAGCAAAUGUUGCUUCCCUUCCAUACAUUAUCAGUCCUUUGGUCCUGCUUCCAG
rnacentral:lncRNA from 1 species